GAUGAACGCUGGCGGCGUGCCUAAUACAUGCAAGUCGAGCGAACGGACGAGAAGCUUGCUUUUCUGAUGUUAGCGGCGGACGGGUGAGUAACACGUGGAUAACCUACCUAUAAGACUGGGAUAAUUUCGGGAAACCGGAUCUAAUACCGGAUAAUAUUUUGAACCGCAUGGUUCAAAAGUGAAAGACGGUCUUGCUGUCACUUAUAGAUGGAUCCGCGCUGCAUUAGCUAGUUGGUAAGGUAACGGCUUACCAAGGCAACGAUGCAUAGCCGACCUGAGAGGGUGAUCGGCCACACUGGAACUGAGACACGGUCCAGACUCCUACGGGAGGCAGCAGUAGGGAAUCUUCCGCAAUGGGCGAAAGCCUGACGGAGCAACGCCGCGUGAGUGAUGAAGGUCUUCGGAUCGUAAAACUCUGUUAUUAGGGAAGAACAUAUGUGUGAGUAACUGUGCACAUCUUGACGGUACCUAAUCAGAAAGCCACGGCUAACUACGUG
rnacentral:rRNA from 1 species